AUUGAACGCCGGCGGCAUGCCUUACACAUGCAAGUCGAACGGUAACAGGUCUUCGGAUGCUGACGAGUGGCGAACGGGUGAGUAAUACAUCGGAACGUGCCUAGUAGUGGGGGAUAACUACUCGAAAGAGUGGCUAAUACCGCAUGAGAUCUACGGAUGAAAGCAGGGGAUCGCAAGACCUUGUGCUACUAGAGCGGCGAUGGCAGAUUAGGUAGUUGGUGGGAUAAAAGCUUACCAAGCCGACGAUCUGUAGCUGGUCUGAGAGGACGAUCAGCCACACUGGGACUGAGAAACGGCCCAGACUCCUACGGGAGGCAGCAGUGGGGAAUUUUGGACAAUGGGCGAAAGCCUGAUCCAGCAAUGCCGCGUGCAGGAUGAAGGCCUUCGGGUUGUAAACUGCUUUUGUACGGAACGAAAAGCCCCGGGUUAAUACCCUGGGGUCAUGACGGUACCGUAAGAAUAAGCACCGGCUAACUACGUGCCAGCCGCCGCUGUAA
rnacentral:rRNA from 1 species